AUUGAAACACCAGUUCCUGUAUGAUCACCAAAGUUAAGCAACAUCGAGCCUGGUCAAUACCUAGAUGGGUGACUGUUUAAGAAUACCAGAUGCUGUAA